CAUUGAUAUCGUUAUGGUCCAAGGAAAGUUAUUAUGAAGCCGCCAUCGUUAAAUAGGAAUCGUCGAAUCCCGUGAAAGAAGUGAAGAUUAGAAGAAAUCUGUAACAAAAACUGAGCAAUAAAAGAAAUGGCAAUUUGAAAUUGAUGACAUCCUUCCAUAUCUUGAAAUUUUCUCUGUGAUCGAGCAAUAAACUGCACAAGAGAAUUACGCAAAAUGUUGAAGUAAUGUAUAAAAGUAAUAAAUUAUAUAAAAAUAAAACAACAAUCUACGUUAAAUACGCACAAACGUAACUACCAAACGUCGUAUCGCGACGUCUAACCACUUCAGUCUCCGACAUUAAACUGACACCUCACUCCACGGUUUAUCUAGCGAAUAAUGGCGAGGAGGAAUGAAAAUAGCAGGGGCUGCUGUUCGGUAAGUCGAGCGGUACGAAUACAAGUCGUCAAAUUCCUGGAAAAAGUAUGUCUUUCUUAGCGACCUUAUUAUGUUUCAAACAAAGAAACAUUACGAUAGGCUGAACAGAAAGAUACGCGUAAAAAGUAAACACGCAUAGAAAUAAAAUGAAGUUACUGGCCAGAAAAUUUUAAUGGAGAGGGAGAGAGAGGGAAAAAAAUAGAUUAUGAAAAGAGAACAAAAAAACUAAAUGAAGUGAUUUUCAGAAUCAAUCAAUGAUUUGUAUAAAAGAAACCACCAAGUAUAUUAAUAUAAGGC